UAUUUGUUUCCAUCUAUCAUCAUGUUUGUUCUAUUGUUUUUCUUGUAAUAGAAAAAUACUGUAUCUCUAUCAAGUAUUUGAUGUUUACCUAAAAUAAAAAUAGAUGGCUAGAGCUGCCUGUUUCUUAUACCUGGCCCACUAAGGCAUUUCAGCUACCUGCCAGAAGGCAUAGAAUUUGAACAGACACUCAGAUGUUUGCUUCCUAAAUCUGUUUCCAGCUCAUUCGCAGACUCCCAUUUCACAUACCUUACUUCAGCAAGCCUCCACAGCAACUACUGAAGUGAACAUUAUUAUUCUCAUUGGGAUCCAAGAGGUCAUGGAAGACCCAGCAUGUGGGGGAAACUUCUUUAUUCUGCUAUCCAAAUAUAAAAUCUAUACAGAAGUAGCUCCUUUGUCCCUUAACCUUAGUAAGCAAAUUUGAUUAAGCAUUUGAAAGCUAUAGAGGUGCAAGGUGGGAGAAAUUCUGCCUCUGCUACUUGGCAGCUCUAUGAUAUUGGGCAAACCACUCAUACCACAUUUAUUUUCCUUAUAUCCAAAAUGGACAUAAUAAUACCUUCUUACUUAUCUCACUGGGUUAUUGGAAUGAUCAUAGUGUUUGGGUGGUUGGUUGUUUCUAGGAGGUAAUAAUGUAUGUGAAAAUAAUUGGUAUAUGGAAAAGGAUUAAAUACUAGUGCUGAAACAUUAUACAUAUUAACAUGCCUUUAAAUCUGUCUCCCUACCAUUCCAUCAUUUAUUUUCGGAGUCAGUUUUACUGAGAUACAAUUAAUGUAUUAAUGUAAGUGUACAGCUCAAUGAGUUUUGACAAAUGUAUACAGAUAUAUAACUACUACCACAAUCAUAAUAUAGAAUAUAUCAGUGGCCCCCCAAAUUUCCUCAUGCCCCUUUGCAUUUUUAUACUUUAAAAGUCAAUAUAUACCCGAGUGAUUAAAAUAUACCUUCCCAAAAACUUGUGCAUAAAUAUUCUUAGUAGCAUUAUGUAUGAUAGCCCCCAAGUGGAAACAACCCAAAUAGCCAUCAACUGAUAAAUGGAUAAAUAAAAUGUAUAUCCAUGCAGUGGAAUAUAAUUCGGCCAUGAAAGGAAUGAAGUACCAAUGUCUGCUACAACAUGGAUGAACCUUGAAAACAUUAUGUUAAGUAAAAGAAGCCAGUCACAAAAGACCACACAUUGUAUGACUCCGUUUUUAAUGAAAGGUCUAGAAGAGGCAAAUCUAUAGAGACAGAAAGUAGUGUUUGCCUCAUAUUGGGGGCUAGGGAAUAAUGAUGAAUGACUGCUAAUGGAUGUGGAAUUUCUUUUGGGGGUAAUGAAAAUGUUCUAAAAUUGAUUGUGGUGAUGGUUGCAAAACUCUGAAUAUAAUAAAACCAUUGAAUUAAUGCCA